AGCGGGCUUUUUGACGUUNGUCAGGCUCAUAACCUGAAGGCCGCAGGUUCAAAUCCUGCCCCCGCAACCA
rnacentral:tRNA from 1 species